CUCUGUUGAGCCAUUAUUUUCUGGCCUGUCUACUACUCAGCACCAUGUUGUACCUUACCAUAGUCAUCCGAUGGUGUUGUACCCCACUGGACCACAUCAACUUUAUCACGGAUAACAUCACAAAGUGGUAUAUGAACAGGUGGACAUACAACAAUACUAGACAUUUGACAGUUAUCUGCAUUGAGAUUGAACCUAAAGGGACAACCAACUACAUAACCCAGUUAGUACGUUUGAUGCAAAAUCUCUGGGUUGAACCGAAUGUCAAUGUGAUGGAGUGUGGAAAUGUGGAUACGUUGUUGGGAAACAAAAAUGUGUUGGGUGUUGUUAGUAACACCUACAGUGUCACCCACACUGACAGUAGGCCAGGACUCAGUUUCUACAAACAUUUGAGUAACGCAGUGGCAUUAGUGAAAGGGUACGACUGGACGAUACUGAAGGGAUCGACCGUCGCGGACAAGUUGACGAACAUGAAGCUGCACUGUCAACAUGAACCGCACUGUGUCACUGUUGUACUGACUGGGUCAUCAACCAAGAUGAUAACAGUGCAAUGUCAAGAACCACAGAGGAUAUACAACUUGAUGAAGACAUACGGGAUUAGAUGCUCCAACGUCUGGGAUUCCAACAUAGCACUGUCGGCAAUGGCUCCUUGUACAGCGCUGAUUGAGCACAAUAUGAUGCUAAUAUAUGCAGACAUGGUCCCCCACACUGAUAACAUUUGUCAGGACACCAACGUCGACACGUUCUACCACAACAUGAAAUAGAUCACAAUAAAAACAAAGGGCAGAGUACUGAGACACAGACCCUACACAAUGCCUCUUCGCAAGUCGGUACAUCUACCACCACAGCCAACCAGUCGUACUAACACCAUCUCAGGGGACUCUCUGUCUGAGAGUAUACCACUUGCCCUGUACUACAGUGAUCAAUGGGCACGCCUAAACACCGUUAUGGAGUCAGAUGGUCGAUUUGUUUCACAUGUCCAGUGUGUAUCUCCACAUUAUGUGUCUACAGAUACAUGUAUGGUGGAAUUUGCAUCAGACCAAAACGUUGUGCUUACAGCGCCUGAUGACAAUGAUGAUUUGGACGACAUAUACCGAAACCCAUUUCCUGUCUCUGCUGUUUGAAAAUGUCAAACCGCUACCUUACAUGUGGACACAUCAUGUGUCUACAGUGUAUAAGACGUAUCAAGAAAGAUGGUGUCCUUCAGUGCCCAAUGUGCAGAACACAGUCCACCUGUAACAGACCCCUUAUAGGUGUACCAGACUUUGUGUUUACAUGUCAUGCAUGUUCUAGUGGCCAUGUAACAUACAGAUGCUGUAGCACCUGUUCUGAAUGCUCUACAUCCUUUACAAAACUCAGCAAACUGUACACAGUAGUGUAAAUGACAUGUAUCCAUAACGACCCUAUCGGCAAGGCUUGUAUUGUGCAAUGAAAUGCUUUUAUUGUGUCAUGUACCAUUGCAGAAGACAACAUAUUCCAUAUAACAUACUAUGUCCCUGUCAACAUAUAAUGUAAUGCUUUUUGUAUAUAUUACCUUGUGAAGAAUAAACUGUUUUAUAGUACCUGAAUAACUGUUUAAAAGAAAAACAUUUGUAUAUGACAUGGAUUACCUUGUAUAAAUAAACUACUUCUAUCAACCA